UUUUGUAUACUUGUUGAUACAGGAAAUCAGCAGUCUAAUAAAGAGGUUGAUUGGCAAAAAGUAUUUUAUGUAUUUUGAAACUACAAAAAUACUAAGAUUAAAUGUAUUUAAAUACAAAAUAGUAUUUUGUAUUUCAAAUACAUGUAUUUGAAAUGCUGCCCAUCCCUGCAUGCUUUACUUUUCUUUACAUAUGUACAGUGCAGAAAAAAUGUUGAGUUGUACAAACACUUUACUAUCUGUUUAUUUUUAAGUUGCUCUGCAGAAAUGGAAAUGUUUUCAGAGUGGAAAGAGGAUGCUGUAGCCGGGCCAUCCAACAGCAGAGAAGGUGACCUGGAUGCUGUAGCCUUACCAUUCAACAGAAGAGAUGGUGAGGAUUCUGUAGCUGGACCAUUCAACAGAAGAGAUGGUGAGGAUUCUGUAGUUGGACCAUUCAACAGAAGAGAUGGUGAGGAUUCUGUAGCUGGACCAUUCAACAGAAGAGAUGGUCAGGAUGCUGUAGCUGGACCAUUCAACAGAAGAGAUGGUCAGGAUGCUGUAGCUGGACCAUUCAACAGAAGAGAUGGUGAGGAUGCUUUAGCUGGGCCAUCCAACAGAAGAGAUGGUGAGGAUGCUGUAGCUGGACCAUUCAACAGGAGAGGUUGUGAGAAUGUGGUUGCCGGACCAUUCAACAGCAGAGAAGGUAACAAAGAUGCAGUAAAAAAUGACAAUGUUAAGUAGAUGAAGACAAUCGACACAGUAGCAAGCAGAAUGUUUUUUUUUUUUAUUAUUUACUUUAGAUUGGAAGAUGAUUACCAAUCCAAAAGAGGCUGCAAAUGUCUUCCGAAAACAACUACUAAUUACUGAAGAGCAGGAACAACCCUUGCGUUUCACCUUGGAUCUCAGGGAAGACCUGGAGGAGCAGGAUAGAGAGAUGAUUUCUUUGUACAAGCGACCAAAUGUCAACUGGGCUAGGCCAUUUUCCUGUAUGCUCAGAGGUGAUGCCGCCACAGGUGAAGGGGUGAGCCGUCACAUUCUUAGUACUGCAAUCCUAAAACUGACACAAGGCUUCAGGAUAAACUUUGCUAACACAGACACAACCUUGUUAUUUGAGGGUGAGUCAGAUCAUCUUGUGCCCUCUACAUCCCAAAUUCUUGUGGAAAGUGACAUGUUCCUGAUGGCUGGGAGGAUGGUUGGUCACUCCUUCAUCCAUGGUGGUCCUUGUUUGUCAGGGAUCAGUCCUGCUGUGAUCCAUGUUUUACUUGGGCGGCCAGCUGAAACAGCCACAAUUCAGCUACAAGACUGCCCAGACCUAGAUCAUCGUGCAACUAUACAGUUGGUAUGCGGAGGUUUUCUUUCAUGUCAUUUGUAUGAUUUAAUUUUUUUUUAUUUCAAAAUAACUGUUUCCAACAGCUUGAGGGAGAUGAUGAACUUUCAGAUCAGGACAAGAAGGCUGUCCUAG
ensembl:lncRNA